CAGAGGGGGCAAGCGUUAUUCGGAAUUAUUGGGCGUAAAGGGCGCGUAGGCGGCUUUUCAAGUGACGGGUGAAAUCCCUCGGCUUAACCGAGGAACUGCCUGUCAGACUGGAAGGCUUGAGACCGGGAGAGGUGAGUGGAAUUCCCAGUGUAGCGGUGAAAUGCGUAGAUAUUGGGAGGAACACCAGUGGCGAAGGCGGCUCACUGGACCGGAACUGACGCUGAGGCGCGAAAGCGUGGGGAGCAAACAGGAUUAGAUACCCUGGUAGUCCACGCCGUAAACGAUGAGUGCUUGGUGUAGCGGGUAUCGACCCCUGCUGUGCCGAAGUCAACACAUUGAGCACUCCGCCUGGGGAGUACGGUCGCAAGACUG
rnacentral:rRNA from 1 species